rnacentral:misc_RNA from 1 species
GAUGAAGAACGUAGCGAAAUGCGAUACUUGGUGUGAAUUGCAGAAUCCCGUGAACCAUCGAGUCUUUGAACGCAAGUUGCGCCCGAAGCCGUCAGGCCGAGGGCACGCCUGCCUGGGCGUCACACGCCGUUGCCCCCCCGCGCCCCGCACCCAACGCUUUGGGAGCGACCGCGGGGCGGGCUGAUGAUGGCCUCCCGUGCGCUCCGCCGCGCGGUUGGCCCAAAUACCGAGUCCCCGGCGACGUGCGCCACGACGAUCGGUGGUUGAGAGACCUCUGUCGCAAGUCGUGCGCGCCCGUCGCGUCACGCGGGCUCGCAUAGCGCCUCGCGCCGCACCCGGUGCGGAGCUUUCAACGCGACCCCAGGUCAGGCGGGGUUACCCUCUGAAUUUAAGCAUAUCAAUAAGCGGAGGA